rnacentral:rRNA from 1 species
CUGAUUUAUACUGUGGGGACGAAAGUCCUUGCUUUUACUAGAUAACAACUUUCAGCAGUGGAUGUCUAGGCUCGCACAUCGAUGAAGAACGCUGCGAACUGCGAUACGUAAUGCGAAUUGCAGAAUUCAGUGAGUCAUCGAAAUUUUGAACGCAUAUUGCACUUUCGGGUUAUGCCUGGAAGUAUGUCUGUAUCAGUGUCCGUAAAUCAAACUUGCCUUUCUUUUUCUGUGUAGUCAGGGAUGGAAUGUGCAGAUGUGAAGUGUCUCGCAUGGUUGCGUUCGUUUUUUCGAUCGAGAAUCUGUCGAGUCCUUUUAAAUGGACACGGUCUUUUCUAUGGUUUCUAUGAAGUGUAAUGGUUGGAAGGCAGUGAUUUUCGGAUUGCUGGCGGCUUUUGGCGACUUCGGUAUGAACGUAUGGAGACUAGCUCAAUUCGUGGUAUGUUAGGCUUCGGCUCGACAAUGUUGCGUAAUUGUGUGUGGUCUUUGUUUGUGCCUUGAGGUGUACUAGAGGUUGUCGGUUUGAACCGUAAGUGAUUGUUUAGUAGAGCAUUUUCACGAUGUAUGGAGACGCUGCAUUUAGUUGCGUAGAGAGAUUGAUUUGGGAAAUUUUGUAUCAUUGUCAAUUGCAAGAUUGUGUAUGGU